rnacentral:snoRNA from 1 species
AUUCCAUGGUUUGGGCAUUUCGAUGAACCUUUCUCAUGCUUUUUAGAGACAUUCUAAAUUUUCCUGUUGAAAUAUGGAGAUCUUAUGCUUUAGUUU